AAUUCUGCAGAUAUGCUAAUACAUGGCAAAGAACUCUCACCAAAAAUAUUGGAUGUGACGGUUGAACUCCUACUGCAGGUGACGUAAGUACAAUACCUGCUAUUUGGUUCUCAAGUGCAGGGUCAAGUGCUGCCUACAUUGAUAAAUGCCAAAUCCCAAGCUUUAGAUAUUAGUAAAUGGGGUUUAUUAAGUUGAAAGUUCAAAAAUUCAUUAUCAAGUAGUCUUAAACACACAAAAUUGUUAGCAACCUCACCUUAAGGAUUAUAACUGCACCUGUCGAGUGUCUAAAGCAAAAACAUGGAAGCCCUGGAUUCUCAACUAAAACCUUCCCAAUAAAUGAUUUCUACAUAAAAUUACAGACAAAUAAGGGAAUUAACCUUUUAGCAGAUUACAUUAAUGUAGCAAGUAUCUUUGCAUUUUGUGAAUGAACCUAAAGCAUACCACAUCCAUAACAGCAUCAUCAAGAGAGUGAACAUAUGCAUGCAGCCCAUCACUUCCACCAUGUCCUGAAUAAAAUAAGGAAUAUGAUUUAUAUGUCGAUAAAUCUAUGACAAAAAUGAAUUGUGACUUGCAAAAAUACAAAGUUGGAUACUAAAACUAUAGUUAUCAUACAGAUAUCCAAACAAAUUUUAAUUGUUAAGUGAUAGUAUUAAAUGACUUUCUUAAUUCAUGUGCAAAAACCUUAAACGACAAUCUUUUAGGAACGGAGGUAGUAUCAAAUACCAUGAAAUUCAGUUUCAAUUCCAGCAGAUUCAAAGACCAAUCCCAACUUUCAGCUUUAAAUUUGCAAUCUAAAAACUCCAAAAUCCAAACCAAAAAGCUUCCUCUUUCAUUUACAACUAACACCGAAAACCCAAAGGACAUCAAAUGAGAUUAUAGAAAUGGUACUUUUUUUAUAAUAAGUAAUUUUCAUAUAGAUUUUUCAAUACAUUUUUGCAUGAAAUAUGACUUACAUUUGUAAAUAUAUUGAAUAAUAAAUUUAAUAAUGUCAGAAAAAAAGAUUCAUAAUAUGCUCGUGUAUAAAACACUGAUAUAUCAACAACUCAAAUGAUAAUUGCACUCUCAAAUGGUAAAACAUGCUACCUUAUUGUAGUGUGUUAUCCUAAAAAAAUCUAUUUGAUGGGCUUUCAAGUAUAAUUUAUGAUAUUUUUAUAUCAACACCUGGUCAAAUCUAUUUUGGUAAGCAUUAGAAACAUGAGAUCUGAAUACGACUCAAAUCUAAUCUUAGCAUUAAUUAGAUUUAAAAUCAGUCCCAAUAACAUGAAAGCUAAUUCAAUCCAAAAAAAAAGUAUCCAAAAAAAUCCAAUAAAGAUUAUAUCAAUUAUGAGAACACCUUUAUUAAAUUUUUAUGUUUAAACACACAAUUACAGGUCUCUCCUAAGAAUAAGUUCAGCUACUUCGCUCAUCCUUUCAGCAGAGACACUGAUGAUCCACCAAAUUUCAUCACACAUGUCAAUUCAUUGGAUAACUCCAUCAGAACCUGGACUCUUUGUAUCACUCCUCUGAAGCACAUCUAUAUUUCCUCCGUUACAGCUGAUCCUAAGAACUCUUCCCCUAUAUGAACUUUCUGAUGUUCUACACAAAUCACUAAUGGAAGCCACAGAUGCUACAAAAUUAAGGCGAUGCUUUGAUGCCAGAGGUUGGCAAUGCAAAGCUCUCUCCUUGAGAAAGCAGAGGAAGGAGUUUUAACUCCACAUAAAUGCAUUGCAGUCGCCAUGUCAAAUCAGGUAAGUGAAAUAUGUUAAGGGUCUAAUGGAUCUGUGAAGAUGUUAAUAAGAAAAUUUGACUAAUUAUGUAAGCUAGUGAUUCCUAGCAGCAGACAGAACCAAAUGCUCUCCCUGCUAUGUGAAAUUUUGUAAGACUGUCCAGCUGAGUAGCUCUUAAUAUAGAAAAUGCAUGUAAACAGAUGACCUGCAGAUUCGGAAAAUUUUAAAAGUUGCAUCUUUUAUACUCAGCCAGACAUCUAGUAGUUACUAAUGAAGCUUAAAGUUUAAUCUUUUAUAAUUCUUGGGAUACCUGGCCUGCUAGAUCUAUGCGUACUUUCUUAUGAAAUUGCGGUGUACCAAAUGACGAAUAGAGAACAUACAACAUAUGACACACUAAAUGAGAUGGAGGGAGUACUUUCGAAAUCAUGCCAAACCAUGAUCUGCAAUCUAGUAGCAUCUGAUAUAUUUUCUUCAAAAACAUUUACUGUUUAUGCUUAUGUUUUACACGUUAAAGGUGAGCUUAAGCCAAGGCCCAGCAAAGCUCACCUAGAGCAAGUUGUUUGUUCUCAAUCUCAGCGCCUUCAAUCUGACAUGUGCUUUGUGGGUUUAAGAUUUAAACUCAAUAGCUGGCUUAGCAUGCUUCAAUGGACCUUUUUUUUCUAACUGACCCGACAAUUUGGAGUUUGGGAAUCAGUUGUACUUUAAUUAUUGAAUGUUUUCUGGUGGAUCAAAGCAAAAGAAUAAUCCUAAGGAAUCACCUGAUCUGUGCCGGUCUUCCCUCAUUUCCUCAAUAGCAACAGCUCCUCUUCCCAUUCUAUCUAAGUCCCCGUCUCUCCUUUCUAUUCCAACCCCAUAUUUUUCUUUCGAUCUUCUUUUUUCUUAUUCCAGCUCGCUCUAUCACUCUGCUUUCUCAUAUCAAAACUUAUAAUUUAUCUCUCUCUGUUUUAUCCCAAAUUAACAAUUAUCUAUCACAAAGAUAUUAGCCACUAAUAACAAUACAAAGGAGAUGAGAUUUUCAUGAGAUACCUGAAAAAGCUCGGCACAACCAUGAUAAGCUAAUGCAGAUCCUACUAUUUUGAAAUCAAUUAGGAUAAUUUAAGCUUAUCUAUAUUGUGUUUGAUAAGCAAUUUAGGGUACAAUCGAUUUAUGCUUGCUCAGAUUAGGG
rnacentral:lncRNA from 1 species